GAAUCAGGGCCGGCCCGAGGCAUAAGCGAACCAAGCGGCUGCUUAGGGCCCCGCUGGCCACCAGGGGGCCCCCACCCCAAUCGUUAUUUUAAAUAUUUUUUUUAUACAAUUAAAUAACUUAAACAGGUAAUAUAAAUGGAUGAAUGAAUGAAUUCGAAUUUAUAAAUGAAUAAUUAAAUACAAGAAAAUUUUGAUUUGCAGACAACUAUGUGUCUGCAGUGCUAGCGUUUUAGUCAGGCGCAACAUAGACACCUGCGCGUCGGCGUGCAAGUGCACGACGUCGUCACUCACUGUAAACAAUGAUGAGCCAUUUGACAUGUCACAAAAAAGGAUAUAUCCCUCUGGGGCCGAAAAGAGAACAAAGAAAAGGACCGAGGAUGAGGAAAAAAAGAGCAAGAUAAAGGAACACUGUUGAAGUACUUUGGAGCACAACCAACUCUACCCGCCCCUGAUGUUUCAUCAAGUGUCAGUGCCUCCACAGCUGAUGAUGCAGCAGAUGAGGUUUUUCUUGUUGGCCAAUGUUAACAUUCCAUAGCCUGUUAAUAUGACAUGACACAUUGAAGAAUAAAGUAUUUUAUUUAAGUAUA